AGGAGAAGGGAGGGCAAUUGGAUGCCUUUUUCUAUUCUGAUAGGCCUAAGAGGAAGGGAUUAAGGAUCCUCUGACCAAAAUAUCAUGUAUGUCAAAACGUCAUCAUAGUGCUAUGCCUUGAUAAGAACCCAUGCAAAUAUGAGUGUUGGAAACUCCUUGAAGUUCUUUAUUGGAAACUCUUCUCAGUUACCUGUAAGGAAAGGAACUGACUCAGUGUGAAAGCCACCAACCUUUCAUCAGCCUUUCUCUGGAUGCUUCAUCUUCUGUAGCUUGGUGCUGGGAGCUACAGCCCUACAGGCAUCUCACUGCCUGAUGCUCAGUGAGGGAGGAGAAGGUGCAUAUACAAAGAAGAUGCAUCUGAAAAAUUGGAUGGGAAAAGAAUAAGUUAUAAGUUCAUCCUACAGAAUUUUGGAAAAAAACAAAAAGCUGCUUUUCCUUCCAACUUUAAUUAAGGGUGGCAUGUAAUUUUAAGCUUAUCAUGUACUAAUAAUGAGGUUUCUUUAAAAAGUUCAUCUUGUUGGAAAUCCAGCC
rnacentral:lncRNA from 1 species